rnacentral:rRNA from 1 species
AUUGAACGCUGGCGGCAGGCCUAACACACGCAAGUCGAGCGGUAACACAGGGAGCUUGCUCCCGGGUGACGAGCGGCGGACGGGUGAGUAAUGUCUGGGAAACUGCCUGAUGGAGGGGGAUAACUACUGGAAACGGUAGCUAAUACCGCAUAACGUCGCAAGGCCAAAGAGGGGGACCUUCGGGCCUCUUGCCAUCAGAUGUGCCCAGAUGGGAUUAGCUAGUAGGUGGGGUAACGGCUCACCUAGGCGACGAUCCCUAGCUGGUCUGAGAGGAUGACCAGCCACACUGGAACUGAGACACGGUCCAGACUCCUACGGGAGGCAGCAGUGGGGAAUAUUGCACAAUGGGCGCAAGCCUGAUGCAGCCAUGCCGCGUGUAUGAAGAAGGCCUUCGGGUUGUAAAGUACUUUCAGCGGGGAGGAAGGCGAUAAGGUUAAUAACCUUGUCGAUUGACGUUACCCGCAGAAGAAGCACCGGCUAACUCCGUGCCAGCCGCCGCCGUAAGAC